UUAAAAAGCUCGUAGUUGAACCUUGGGUCUGGCUGGCCGGUCCGCCUCACCGCGAGUACUGGUCCGGCUGGACCUUUCCUUCUGGGGAACCUCAUGGCCUUCACUGGCUGUGGGGGGAGCCAGGACUUUUACUGUGAAAAAAUUAGAGUGUUCAAAGCAGGCCUUUGCUCGAAUACAUUAGCAUGGAAUAAUAGAAUAGGACGUGUGGUUCUAUUUUGUUGGUUUCUAGGACCGCCGUAAUGAUUAAUAGGGAUAGUCGGGGG
rnacentral:rRNA from 1 species